AAUGAACGUUGGCGGCGUGGAUUAGGCAUGCAAGUCGCGCGAGAAGUUUCCUUCGGGAGACGGACAGCGGCGGAAGGGAGAGGAAUAAGUAGAAAUCUGCCCUCGGGACGGGGAUAGCGGCGGGAAACUGCCGGUAAUACUCGAUAACAUCUUUGGAUCAAAUGGUGUGAUUCCGCCUGAGGAUGAGUCUACUUCCUAUUAGCUAGUUGGUGUGGUAAUGGCUCACCAAGGCAACGAUGGGUAGCGGGUGUGAGAGCACGAUCCGCCUCACUGGGACUGAGACACUGCCCAGACACCUACGGGUGGCUGCAGUCGAGAAUCUUCGGCAAUGGGGGAAACCCUGACCGAGCGACGCCGCGUGCGGGAUGAAGGCCCUCGGGUUGUAAACCGCUGUCGUAAGGGAACAAAUCUAAGAGGGUACUCCCUUUUAGUUGAGUGAUCUUAGGAGGAAGGACGGGCUAAGUUCGUG
rnacentral:rRNA from 1 species